CUCUCCAACUUAAUUAGUUAUGAUAUUUAGAGGUUGCAAAUUCCUGGGACACCACCACAACUAAUGCUCCUACUUAAUUUUUUAACACUUUAUUUUUUGAUUCCCACGAACGUACCUAUAUUCAAAUCAUUUAAUUUAUCCAAUUUAUCAAAAAAAAAUCUACUUCCAUGGUACAGCAUUUAAAAUUAGGAAAGUACAGAUUGGG
rnacentral:lncRNA from 1 species